UACGUAGGGAGCAAGCGUUGUUCGGAUUUACUGGGCGUAAAGGGCGCGUAGGCGGCAAAUUAAGUCAGCUGUGAAAUCUCCGAGCUUAACUCGGAACGGUCAGCUGAUACUGAUCUGCUAGAGUGCGGAAGGGGCAAUCGGAAUUCUUGGUGUAGCGGUGAAAUGCGUAGAUAUCAAGAGGAACACCUGAGGUGAAGACGGGUUGCUGGGCCGACACUGACGCGGAGUGCGCGAAAGCCAGGGGAGCAAACGGG
rnacentral:rRNA from 1 species